AUACGGGGGGAGCAAACGUUGUUCGGAAUUACUGGGCGUAAAGGGCGCGUAGGCGGGCCGGUUAGUGGAAUGUGAAAUGCCCUGGCUCAACCAGGGAACUGCAUUCCAUACUGCCAGUCUUGAGUAUAGGAGAGGAUGGGGGAAUUCCCGGUGUAGCGGUGGAAUGCAUUGAUAUCGGGAGGAACACCAGUGGCGAAGGCGCCCAUCUGGCCUAAUACUGACGCUGAGGCGCGAAAGCUAGGGGAGCAAACAGGAUUAGAAACCCCAGUAGUCC
rnacentral:rRNA from 1 species